rnacentral:rRNA from 1 species
GCCAGAGCCAUAUCUCCCUGUAUCUUGCCUGGUUUCCCACUGAAGCUAAGCAAGUUUGAGUCUGGCUAGUACAUAGAUGGAGACCUUCUGGGGAAAACUAAGGUUGCUGCUGGAA